rnacentral:rRNA from 1 species
GACGAACGCUGGCGGCGUGCUUAACACAUGCAAGUCGAACGGAAAGGCCCUGCUUUUGUGGGGUGCUCGAGUGGCGAACGGGUGAGUAACACGUGAGUAACCUGCCCUUGACUUUGGGAUAACUUCAGGAAACUGGGGCUAAUACCGGAUAGGAGCUCCUGCUGCAUGGUGGGGGUUGGAAAGUUUCGGCGGGUGGGGAUGGACGCGCGGCUUAUCAGCUUGUUGGUGGGGGAGUGGCUUACCAAGGCUUUGACGGGUAGCCGGCCUGAGAGGGUGGCCGGCCACAUUGGGACUGAGAUACGGCCCAGACUCCUACGGGAGGCAGCAGUGGGGAAUAUUGCACAAUGGGCGGAAGCCUGAUGCAGCAACGCCGCGUGCGGGAUGACGGCCUUCGGGUUGUAAACCGCUUUCGCCUGUGACGAAGCGUGAGUGACGGUAAUGGGUAAAGAAGCACCGGCUAACUACGUG